CAAGGCACAAGCAGUCAGGACUGAGGCUUGCCAUGGAUCGACAGCAGAAAGGCAAGGCUUCCCUGUAGUUGCUCGCGUUUGGAACCAUCAGAGGCAAGCAAAACACAGCCACGGGAAUAAUCCUCUCGUUGGAACACGGUGCCCGAUCGCUCACGGCCGCCACGGUGCGCUGUGAAGUUCCUUCCAAGCACGUAAACACGAGGAUUAGAAACAGCGGCAGGACGAAGAUCCAACCCGAAGAUCUGAGCUCCAUCCCCGAAGAAGAACUAAAGUUCCAUAAGUUUUCCCUGGAAGCUGGGAUCCAUAAGUUUCCCCUGGAAGCUGGGAAACUUUUAAAGGAAUCAAUCCCGUCGCAAGC
rnacentral:lncRNA from 1 species